UGUGAGAUCAGCUAAUUUAAGCUCUUGGGCUCAUGCCCCAAAUAUGUCGGUUAACCCCCCUCUCGCAAC
rnacentral:tRNA from 1 species